AUCCACAUGACGAAUCACAAAUAUAACGAAACGAGCGUCCUGGAU
rnacentral:hammerhead_ribozyme from 1 species